rnacentral:rRNA from 1 species
CCGGACCUGACUGCUAUCGGAUUGGUACUAAGCCAUGCGAGUCAUUGUAGCAAUACAAGGCGGACGGCUCAGUAACACGUAGUCAACCUAACCUAUGGACGUGGAUAACCUCGGGAAACUGAGAAUAAACCGCGAUAGAUCAUUAUGCCUGGAAUGGCUUAUGGUUCAAACAAUUUAUUGCCGUAGGAUGGGACUGCGGCCUAUCAGCUUGUUGGUGAGGUAAUGGCCCACCAAGGCUAUAACAGGUACGGGCUCUGAGAGGAGAAGCCCGGAGAUGGGUACUGAGACACGGACCCAGGCCCUAUGGGGCGCAGCAGGCGAGAAACCUUAGCAAUGUGCGAAAGCACGACUAGGUUAAUCCGAGUGAUUCCUGUUGAAGGAAUCUUUUGUCAGUCGUAAAACCACAGACGAAUAAGGGGUGGGCAAGUCUGGUGUCAGCCGCCGCGGUAAUACCAGCACCUCGAGUGGUCAGGAGGUUUAUUGGGCCUAAAGCAUCCGUAGCCGGCUUUGCAAGUCUCCGGUUAAAUCCAGCUGCUCAACAGAUGGGCUGCCGGAGAUACUACACAGCUAGGGAGCGGGAGAGGCAGACGGUAUUCUGUGGGUAGGGGUAAAAUCCAUUGAUCCAUAGAGGACCACCAGUGGCGAAGGCGGUCUGCCAGAACGCGUUCGACGGUGAGGGAUGAAAGCUGGGGGAGCAAACCGGAUUAGAUACCCGGGUAGUCCCAGCUGUAAACGAUGCAAACUCGGUGAUGCAUUGGCUUAUGGCCAAUGCAGUGCCGCAGGAAGCCGUUAAGUUUGCCGCCUGGGAAGUACGGACGCAAGUCUGAACUUAAAGGAAUUGGCGGGG